rnacentral:rRNA from 1 species
UACGUAGGGGGCAAGCGUUGUCCGGAAUCAUUGGGCGUAAAGCGCGUGUAGGCGGCCCGGUAAGUCCGCUGUGAAAGUCGGGGGCUCAACCCUCGAAUGCCGGUGGAUACUGUCGGGCUAGAGUGCGGGAGGGGCGAGUGGAAUUCCUGGUGUAGCGGUGAAAUGGCGCAGAUAUCAGGAGGAACACCGGUGGCGAAGGCGGGUCUCGUGGGA